CGACUGAAUAUAAAAUCAAAAUGAGAAAUAGUUAGAGGUACUUAACAAUUAUUUACACAAAGGAGUAAACCAAUUUUUUUAAUUGUUUUUAACCAAGUUUUAUUUGAUAUCUAAAAAAUAUCGUCAGCUUUAGAAUAUAUUCUUUUUAACCCUUAAGCAGGCACGUGCCUUUUUUUAACGUUCGUAGUCGCGUGGGGGUCUGUCCGUCCAAUCGUGGUCGCCGGUCGGUUAUCUUGUAAAUUCCGUUUAAAAAUCUAAUGUUUAUGUUGGUGAGAAAGGUCCCCUUCGUCAUUAUUUAUAUUGAAAAAUCGACGUCACGACUGUUUUCGUUUGAGAAAACGAAAAUGAGAAUGUUUGAAUUCUCAUUUUGCUCCUUUUGUUUUGACAGCGGCUUUACAGACGGCCGACUGUAUCGCGGAAUCCUGCAGUCUCUGGCGGGUGUGCUGCUAUUAUAUUUACCGAUUUCCGCGGAUCGGCCCUCGCGUCUUGACCGACGACGGGCCCCGUCUACCCGCGAUCGAGCUGUCUGCGUCCGUCGUUUUGGCCGCGGGCCCGUAGCCCGUGUUCCGAGGUAGGUACCGCACCCUAUUCGUUUCUUCUCCCUCCAGCGACGAUUCAUCGAUGGCGCUCCAUCGCUCAUCG